UAUAUAGCAAUGUCAUUAAUUUGAAGAAUUCAUCAAUAGAUAAAGCAUUGUUUUCUGUAGAUUAUGUAUUUAUAUUGUAUGUACAGUACAUCAUUGUAAACUUUAUCCUUAUCUACAAGUAAGUAAUAAAAAAAAACAGAAGCUUAAUCUCGAUAUUAAUCUGAUGAGAUGAAACCACAAAUUUGGUCAAAGUAUAGUUUAUUCAAGCAAACUAUUAAACUAACAAAACAUAUGUACAUCAGAAGUAAGGGAAACACUUCAUCUGUAUAAUACACAUGCAUAAACCCUAGCCAUAACCAAAGUACGACCGCAAGUCUUUGUAUUGUACUUAUCACAUUCCACGAUGAUGUCCAGUGCUGACGAGUUUCUUCAACCGACACAGAAACUUACUAGCAGUGGAUAUGUGGCGACGUAUGUCUGCAUUGGAUUUGGCCUUCUUCAAACUGUAGCUCUUCAGAUAGAUGCUACGACGUCGUCUAUAAUCAUCGUCUUCCUGACUAAAUACAAAGUCGGCACUCAGUUUUUCUGAAGUUACUUCUUCAUCACGUAUUGAGUUCUUUGGGUUUCCUUCUUGAUCCCAAGCUUUUCCGUAGAUCCAAUUCUCGGUUUCCAUCAUCGAUAAUAUAGCAGAUUUUUCUUCUAACUAGCUCUCUAUGUAAAGAAAAAACUGACGGAUAAAUUAAUUAGUGGUAGAGUAUUAGGGUAUAUAUAUACACAGCCUUAUUUUUUUUCCUUUUUUGAAAUAUCAAAUAUACUGGAUAAUCAGAGAAUUUUAUUUAAAAAGAAAUAUAUAUAUAUAUAUAUAUAUAUAUAUAUAUAUAUCCAAUAACAAAAAAAGGAAAAAAUAACUCAUUAACAUAAACCCUCACACAGAACAGUAGAGAGAGAGAACUCUACCAGCCGCCAGAGAAAAAAAAAGAAAGAUUUCUGAGUUCCCCUCUCCGGCUUCCAGGAGUCUCGUAGGUGUCAUAAGAAUGCUUAUAGGUCUUGUAGUAGGUUCAUUUGGUCGAUAUGAAGCUUUUGUUGUUUUUUGGAUGGUAUCGAGAGGUAGUUUAGUUCCGUUGUAGUCCUGGUGGUGUGCUUGUUGUCUGAACAGAUCCGGAUCUUUUUCUGGUGUGCAGUAUAGUACUAAGCUGGCUCUGAUGUGGUAUGUUAAUUCUUCUGUCGGAUUUGUUGAAGCGUUUCACAGGUAUGUCUCUGUGGAUCAGCGAUUUCAUCAAUCAACCUCUUACCCUUCCUGUUCGGUUAGUCGAAGGUUCUAUCAGUAUAAAUCUCAUCCCUUGGUUCGUUAUGUUUAUGGUUUCUUGGGUCUGUGUGGCCUUCAGUUUCAUGCCUCUAAUUCUAUGUUGCAAUGUAAGCCUCUUAGUGGUUCUAAGUUAGUGACGGGUAUUGGUUCAAGUCUUGACCCCGUGGUCUUUGUCAUGUAUCAUUGGUGUAUUUGUUUCUUUUGUUUUAUCACUUCUUCGUCAGCUUUGGAGUCUUACUCUUGACAUCGCGGUUUGUGUCACCAACUUCCUGUCGCUCCAUCUGUGUAUUCGAUGGUUUCCCUUCAAUGAUUGAAGAGGUUCCGUGCGGUGCAUUAUUCCUCCUUUGGAAUGGUUCUGGUUUGGGUAAGGGGUUCCCUGUGAUCCCAUGGGUUUGGAUGCUCUUCUUUGAUAUCACUCAAGCUUUAACAGUAUUGGUUGGUCCUCUUUUGAAGUCGUUUCCUCGGUCUUGAUCCUAGCUUCCGGCUUCUUUAGAGUUCUAUGAGGAUGUGGCUCCUCUACGCUGAGCUGCAAUGGCGGAAUCGGUUUGGUUUCCGUUUCUAAUGUGAUGCUUAAUGAAGGUGUCUCUUACUUUAUGUUUAUCUAAGUUUGGUUAUGUUGGAACUAUUUUUUGAGCAUUAGGAAAAAUGUAUUCAUAUGCUAAAAAUAGAGUUAAUGUGAAUAAAAAAUAGAAGUUCAAAGUGGGUUGAUUAUAAAUCUUAAAAUGACAUUUGUAAAAUGUCCCACAUUGAAAAUAUGAGGAAAAAAUCUUUUAUAUUUAAAAUGGAGAAAUCACAACAAAGCUCAAAGCUUUAAUAUAGUUAAUAUAUUGUGAAGAGGAGAUAUCGGUAUCAAGCUAAGGGUUUGGAUUUCGGAUUUGGUAACUUGGCCAAUUGAUUAAAUGGUUAAUCUUUUGAUCGAAGUUAUUUUUUUUUAUUAUUGACAAAGUCAAAAUAAGAAAAUAAAAAUAUCUCCUACUAUUAUGAUGGUGAUGUGAUUUAAUGGUAUUUAGUGCAAAGUCAAUUUGAUUUUGUAACCUAAAAAAUUUAUGCACAAUCAAAAAAAUUAUUAUGAUAAUAAUUUAGUCUUCAUGUUUAUGGUUGCACGUUAGAAAACGUUGAACCAUAAACAUGGAGACUAAAUUAUUAUUAUGAUAAUAAUUUUUAGAUAUAAUUGAUUUCAAAUUUAAAAUUAAAUAUUGUAAGCAGAAAAUAAAAGCUAAAAUUAAUAAAAAAAAAAAAAA